rnacentral:rRNA from 1 species
AUUGAACGCUGGCGGCAGGCCUAACCCAUGCAAGUCGAACGAGUGGCGGAAGGGUGAGUAAUGUCUGGGAAACUGCCCGAUGGAGGGGGAUAACUACUGGAAACGGUAGCUAAUACCGCAUACCAUCGGAUGUGCCCAGAUAGGAUUAGCUAGUAGGUGGGGUAACGGCUCAACUAGGCGACGAUCCCUAGCUGGUCUGAGAGGAUGACCAGUAACCCUGAAACGACGACACGUUCCAGCCGCCUACGGGAGGCAGCAGGGGGGAAUAUUGCACAAGGUGCGCAAGCCUCAUACAGCCAUGCCGCGUGUAUGAAGAAGGCCUACGGUUUGUAAAGUACUUUCAGCGAGGAGGCGUUACGCGCAGAAGAAGCACCGGCUAACUCCGUGCCAGCAGCCGCGGGAAUAC